rnacentral:rRNA from 1 species
UACGAAGGGUGCAAGCGUUAAUCGGAAUUACUGGGCGUAAAGCGUGCGUAGGUGGUUCGUUAAGUCUGAUGUGAAAGCCCUGGGCUCAACCUGGGAAUUGCAUUGGAUACUGGCGGGCUAGAGUGCGGUAGAGGAUGGCGGAAUUCCCGGUGUAGCAGUGAAAUGCGUAGAGAUCGGGAGGAACAUCCGUGGCGAAGGCGGCCAUCUGGACCAGCACUGACACUGAGGCACGAAAGCGUGGGGAGCAAACAGG